AUAUGGAUGAUUGUUCCACAGGGGAUGCAACAACAACAACAACAAACGUAGAAAACUCAAAGUACGACGACGACGAUGAUGAUGAUGAGAACAACAAUCGAACGAGAACCACAAAAUACCGACAAACACAACAAGCCCAGCCGGCCGACCGCCAAGCGGAGCCUGCAACUGCAGCGGGCGCGUGGCUCGAAAUGAAAGCCGCGGCAAAUGAGGGGCGCACGGGCGGACUUGCGAGCCCUCCCCCCGUCUCCAGCGCACGCGAAGCUCAUCAAUCACCGGCGGCGAGCGAGAGUUCGGGUUUGUCGAGGGCUUAUCGGCUCGCGAGGAGUCGUCUCGUUCCUCGAUUCACUUCACUGUCACGUGUUGACGUGCGCGACGCUCGAGACGCAGCAUCUGCGGCGGAUCGCCUCGCCAGAUCGCGCGCUCUGGCCACGGUUACGGACCAAUACGCCCCAGGGAGGACGAGGAUUUGGACGAAGC